rnacentral:lncRNA from 1 species
UCUCUCUUCUCUGAUUCUCUAUCUUUAUUCUCUUAACCACUUCUCCACAGGCGCCCUCUGUUCUUCAUCCCUACCGUUCAAACCACCGCAUUCUUCAGUUUUUUGGUUGAACUUCAACUAGAAAAUUCAAACAUUUAAACACCUCAUCCCCAGAAUCUUCAACCCAGCCCAGAAACCCUCACAUCCUCACGAACCCUAACUAGGUUAGGAUGAACCCUAACAUUUUUCAGAUGAACCCUACCCCUAAAAAUUUCCAGAAAAACCAAAUUCUUCACAAAUCGAAACUUAACCCUUGGCCGAUUCAAAGAUUAACCUUUCCCAAAUUUUAAAUCCCACGGACUUAACUCCGAAAUUUCUAACCCUAAUCCUUUUCGAUUAACCCCACAAUCAACAAUAAUAAUCUAGAAUAACUAUUGGCAAUGAAAAAUAUCAUUCAAUUUCGAUGGGGGUUCAGAAACUAACUGGCAAGGAGGAGAAGUUCCUUGGUAAAGGUAAAGUAAUUCUUCCGAUCUCCUUUGAUUUUGUUGCUCUUUUCUGUUUCCUUUCUAACUUUUUCUUCUUCUUUCUUUGGUGCAAGGUCCUUCUGGAUGGAGGUCAAGCUCGAGUCCUGCUGCUAUGGAUUUCGGAAUUCCUCCC